GACGAACGCUGGCGGCGUGCUUAACACAUGCAAGUCGAACGGUGAUGCUCCAGCUUGCUGGAGUGGAUCAGUGGCGAACGGGUGAGUAACACGUGAGCAACCUGCCCCAGACUCUGGAAUAAGCGCUGGAAACGGCGUCUAAUACUGGAUACGAAACUGGCCCGCAUGGGCAUGGUUUGGAAAGUUUUUCGGUUUGGGAUGGGCUCGCGGCCUAUCAGCUUGUUGGUGAGGUAAUGGCUCACCAAGGCGACGACGGGUAGCCGUCCUGAGAGGGCGACCGGCCACACUGGGACUGAGACACGGCCCAGACUCCUACGGGAGGCAGCAGUGGGGAAUAUUGCACAAUGGGCGAAAGCCUGAUGCAGCGACGCCGCGUGAGGGAUGACGGCCUUCGGGUUGUAAACCUCUUUCAGCAGGGAAGAAGCGAAAGUGACGGUACCUGCAGAAGAAGCACCGGCUAACUACGUG
rnacentral:rRNA from 1 species